rnacentral:rRNA from 1 species
UAUAGAUCCAGACAACCUCGGGAAACUGAGGCUAAUCCGGAAUAGGGCUCUCAUCCUGGAGUGGAGAGAGCCUGAAACGCUCCGGCGCUAUAGGAUGUGGCUGCGGCCGAUUAGGUAGACGGUGGGGUAACGGCCCACCGUGCCAGUAAUCGGUACGGGUUGUGAGAGCAAGAGCCCGGAGACGGUAUCUGAGACAAGAUACCGGGCCCUACGGGGCGCAGCAGGCGCGAAACCUUUACACUGCACGCCAGUGCGAUAAGGGGACUCCAAGUGCGAGGGCAUAUAGUCCUCGCUUUUUGCGACCGUAAGGUGGUCGCGGAAUAAGUGCUGGGCAAGACCGGUGCCAGCCGCCGCGGUAAUACCGGCAGCACGAGUGAUGACCGCUGUUAUUGGGCCUAAAGCGUCCGUAGCUGGCCGCACAAGUCUAUCGGGAAAUCUCUCCGCUUAACGGAGAGGCGUCCGGUGGAAACUGUGUGGCUUGGGACCGGAAGACCAGAGGGGUACGUCUGGGGUAGGAGUGAAAUCCCGUAAUCCUGGACGGACCACCGGUGGCGAAAGCGCCUCUGGAAGA